rnacentral:rRNA from 1 species
GAGUUUGAUCAUGGCUCAGAACGAACGCUGGCGGCAUGCCUAACACAUGCAAGUCGAACGAACUCUUCGGAGUUAGUGGCGCACGGGUGCGUAACGCGUGGGAAUCUGCCCUUGGGUACGGAAUAACUCAGAGAAAUUUGUGCUAAUACCGUAUAAUGACUUCGGUCCAAAGAUUUAUCGCCCAAGGAUGAGCCCGCGUAAGAUUAGCUAGUUGGUGGGGUAAAGGCCUACCAAGGCUACGAUCUUUAGCUGGUCUGAGAGGAUGAUCAGCCACACUGGGACUGAGACACGGCCCAGACUCCUACGGGAGGCAGCAGUGGGGAAUAUUGGACAAUGGGCGAAAGCCUGAUCCAGCAAUGCCGCGUGAGUGAUGAAGGCCUUAGGGUUGUAAAGCUCUUUUACCCGGGAUGAUAAUGACAGUACCGGGAGAAUAAGCUCCGGCUAACUCCGUGCCAGCAGCCGCCGU